rnacentral:rRNA from 1 species
UACGUAGGGGGGCAAGCGUUGUCCGGAAUCAUUGGGCGUAAAGAGCGUGUAGGCGGCCAGAAAAGUCCGCUGUGAAAACUCGAGGCUCAACUUCGAGCUGUCGGUGGAAACUUUCUGGCUAGAGUCCGGAAGAGGGGAAUGGAAUUCCUGGUGUAGCGGUGAAAUGCGCAGAUAUCAGGAAGAACACCCGUGGCGAAGGCGGUUCUCUGGGACGGUACUGACGCUGAGUGAGCGAAAGCCAGGGGAGCAAACGGG